GAAAAAAUGAAAUGAAGGUCUCUGCAAAAUAUUUAAAUUUAUUUCUAAGAUCAAUGCAAAAACUACCUGGCAAAAUUGUUAGACUCUAUGCUAAAAAAUGUGUGAUUUAUAUUGAAUGUCUACAUACUGUUCUUAUACAGAGUGUGAAUACUUACAAUACUGUAUUAGAACAAAUAUGGCUACCACAAAGUCAGAAAACAAAUGUCAAUUUUAUACUGCAACAUAUAUAUUGUUCAAAGUACAUUUAGUUUGAUAUUGCUAAUAAUUCUUUACAACAAAUAUAGUUAUUAUCUGAGGGAAUGCAUUGAUUUUAGCAUUUUUUUGUGUAUGAAGCAUUCACUCAGGGGAUUAUAUUUUAUUUGCAUUAUUAAUAAUGUUAGGAAUAUUGUCUCUUUUUUCUCAUUAGGUCAUGUUAUUAUUUGGCUUUAUCAGUAAGGCAGUGAUUUGUUCUCCCUUAUUUAAUUUUUUUUUAGACACGAAAUGUUGUUAUUUUGUCUUAUAAAACGUAUCAAUUAUUUUACAGAUACCUAUUGUGAAAAUUUUGUUAGAUAUUCAAUACUCCAUAAGAUUCAUUUGUGAUGAUUUCUAUGUUUUUUGUAUGCUUAUAUGUAUUUCAUCUGAAUUUAAUUUGUAUUCUUUAUUGAUAAAAAAUCUUUUUCUCUGUUGAAUCCUUAACCACUUUUCCUGGACUCCAAAUCGAUUAAAGUGUCCAUAUAUACAAUUUGAGAAAACCUCAUUCCAGUUCUGACUUGGUACAGACACUUUCAAAUUAAACUGAUUGACUGAACCAGGUUUUACAGCUUGCCAAAUCUCUUAUUUAUAUGUUAUUUCUUUUCAAAAUAACUAUUUUCUUGGAAGUCAAUGUUCUCAUUUGAAUAUGGUACAUAGAUAUAGGAAGAUGUGGUAUGAGUGCCAGUGAGACAACUCUCCAUUCAAGUCACAAUUUAUAACAGUAGACCAUUAUUGGUAAAAGUAUGGUCUCCAACACUGAACCUAUGCUCACACCGAACAGCAAGCUAUGAAGGGACCCAAAAAUACUAGGGUAAAACCAUUCAAACAGGAAAACGAACAGUCGAAUCUAUAUAAUACGAGAAACAUGUAUUUUUUUUCAUCUAUCAUAAAUAGACAAUUGAUAAUAUGCCUAGGAUACAUUUAAGAAAUCUGCUUUUAAAUUCUACUGACCAUUUAAAGACUUCUUUUAUGUAGCAUUUUAUUCUUGCUGAAAUUUCUAUAAAUUUGUUACACAUGUAUAUCUUGCCCUCCUGGCGCAGCUGUUUAUUAUGAUACACCAAACAUCAUUAGAUGUGUUAGAUCUACAUGUAUAGUGAAUAAUUAAUUUGAUAUGGAGUUUUAAAACGGGAUAAAUGGCCCCAUUAAUAUGGUUUUAAUUGAUCAUUACACUUGGUUUAAAAUCUUUGUCAAUUUAUUUCAUGCAUUUCUUUAAUUGAACAUUGAACUAAAUGAAGGGAAUAUUUAAUUCUUCAUUUGCCAAAAAACAUAAUUUUAUAAAAUAUAUGAUACUUGCUGUUUGAUGUGUUUAUAAUAAAUUACAUGCUAUUAAUGAGCCAUAAAUACAACUUAAUUUCAUUUCGACAAGAAUUGAUACUUUUCAUCUUCAGUGUGAAGAUAUCAUUAUUAUCAUCAGAAGUAUUGUAGAUCAUUGUAUUUAUGUUAAUAUCUCUUUGAUGAUUAUUAUAUAAAUUAUUAAGUAUUUAA
rnacentral:lncRNA from 1 species